UCGGGAAUUUUGGGCAAUGGGCGCAAGCCUGAUCCAGCCAUGCCGCGUGAAGGAUGAAGUAUUUCGGUAUGUAAACUUCGAAAGAAUAGGAAGAAUAAAUGACGGUACUAUUUAUAAGGUCCGGCUAACUACGUGCCAGCAGCCGCGGUAAUACGUAGGGACCAAGCGUUGUUCGGAUUUACUGGGCGUAAAGGGCGCGUAGGCGGCAAUUCAAGUCAUCUGUGAAAUCUCCGGGCUUAACUCGGAACGGUCAGAUGAUACUGCUUUGCUAGAGUGCAGAAGGGGCAAUCGGAAUUCUUGGUGUAGCGGUGAAAUGCGUAGAUAUCAAGAGGAACACCUGAGGUGAAGACGGGUUGCUGGGCUGACACUGACGCUGAGGCGCGAAAGCCAGGGGAGCAAACGGGAUUAGAUACCCUUGUAGUCCCUGAGCGGGCUGGCAAGGCGCAU
rnacentral:rRNA from 1 species